AUGCAGCGGCACCUAAUGGUGACAGUUGUUAAAGCGGGGGAUCGCAAGACCUCGCGUCUGAAGAGGAGCCUGCGGCGGAUUAGCUAGUUGGUAAGGUAACGGCUUACCAAGGCUAUGAUCCGUAGCCGGCCUGAGAGGGCGGUCGGCCACACUGACACUGACAUACGGGUCAGACUCCUACGGGAGGCAGCAGUCGGGAAUUUUGGGCAAUGGGCGAAAGCCUGACCCAGCAACGCCGCGUGAAGGAUGAAAUCCCUCGGGAUGUAAACUUCGCAAGAACGGGAAGAAUAAGUAAGAGCUAACAUCUCUUACGAUGACGGUACUGUUUGUAAGCUCCGGCUAACUCCGUGCCAGCAGCCGCGGUAAUACGGGGGGAGCAAGCGUUGUUCGGAUUUACUGGGCGUAAAGGGCGCGUAGGCGGCCACCGCAAGUCGACUGUGAAAUCUCUGGGCUUAACCCAGAACGGUCAGCCGAUACUGCGGGGCUAGAGUGCAGAAGGGGCAACUGGAAUUCUCGGUGUAGCGGUGAAAUGCGUAGAUAUCGAGAGGAACACCUGCGGCGAAGGCGGGUUGCUGGGCUGACACUGACGCUGAGGCGCG
rnacentral:rRNA from 1 species